CCCAGUCCGGGAGGAAGUUCUGCCGGGUGCUCUCCGCCGGUGCCUCCCUCGCUAUAUUGUUGAACAGGAAACAGGGCAGCGUGGGAGCAGGGCGGUGGAGGAGAGAGCGCCGGACGCCGAGCCCCCGCGCGGCUGCCAGGACAAGUGGAGGCGAGGCCAGCGGUCGGACACCCCGAGGUGCCAGGCUCCUCCUUCCCGAGGUCUCUCCAGCCUAGCUCUUUGAAGCCCCGCCCAAGGAGAUGGCAGGGGCCUAACCUGCAUACAACCGCCGGCUCCGCCCAGCCAGCCCAUGGGCUCCUUGAGGUCAGCCCUGCCGACGGACACGCCGCGGCCACGAUGGCGGCGGACGUCGAGGGGGACGUGUACGUGCUGGUGGAACAUCCCUUCGAGUACACGGGCAAGGACGGGCGCCGCGUUGCCAUCCAGCCCAACGAGCGCUACCGCCUGCUGCGCCGCAGCACGGAGCACUGGUGGCACGUGCGCAGCGAGCCCGGCGGCCGCCCCUUCUACCUGCCGGCUCAGUACGUGCGCGAGCUGCCUGCCCUCGGCCACCCUGCCCCCGCCCCGCAGCCGCCCGCGCGCCUUCCGGGUCCCGCAGACCCCGAACCGCUCUCCUAUGACUACCGCUUCGUGAGAGCGUCGGCGCCCGCCGGUCCCGACGGCGCGCCCGCCGAGCCCCGGGGCCGCGCGGGCUCCAUGUGCGGCCUAGCUCGGCGCGGCGCAGCAACCCAGCGCCGAAGCCUGGCGCCCUGCCUGCCCGCCUGCCUGUACACGAGGCCCAUGGCACCUGUGCGGCCCGCGCAGUCUUUGGACGACCUGGCCCGCACCGCCGCGCCCCCUGCCGGUCUCCUCGGGAGCGGGGGCAGCCUCAAGGCCUGCAGCGUGGCCGGCUCUUGGUUGUGCCCGCGGCCUCCGGCGGGCAGCAACUCCGAAAACGUCUAUGAGGCCAUCCAGGACGUGCGCGGCCAGCCGCUGGAGCAGCACCCGGAGCAGGUGGAUGACCUCCCAGAGCCCGUGUACGCGAACGUAGAGAGGCAGCCUCGGGCCACGUCGCCUGGCGCCACCGCAGCCCACUGCACCGGCUCGGUGUGGGAGACGCACACGGACGCGGGCACCGGGCGCCCCUACUACUACAACCCGGACACGGGCGUGACCACCUGGGAGUCGCCCUUCGAGGCUGCCGAGGGCGCCGCCAGCCCGGCCACGUCUCCGGCUUCGGUGGGCAGCCACGAGAGCCUCGAGACCGAGUGGGGCCAGUACUGGGAUGAGGAGAGCCGCAGGGUGUUCUUCUACAACCCGCUGACGGGCGAGACGGCCUGGGAGGACGAGUCCGAGGACCAGCCGGAGGACGAGCAGGAGAUGCAGCCUGGCCUGAGCCCCGGCAGCCCCAGGGACCAGAGGCCCCCCACCCCUGAGACGGACUACCCCGAGUUGCUGACCAGUUACCCAGAGGAAGACUAUUCCCCCGUGGGCUCCUUCGGUGAGCCCGGCCCCGCCUCUCCCUUGGUCACACCCCCAGGCUGGUCUUGCCACGUGAGCCAGGAUGGGCAGACGCUGUACACUAACACCUACACCCAAGAACAGUGGAUGAGGUUGGAGGACCAACACGGGAAGCCUUACUUCUACAAUCCAGAUGACGCCUCCGUUCAGUGGGAGCUGCCCCAGGUCCCUGUCCCUGCCCCUCGAAGCAUCCGCAAAUCCAGCCAGGACAGUGAGACCCCGGCCCAGGCCAGCCCACCUGAGGAGAAGAUCAAGACCCUGGACAAGGCAGGCGUGCUCCAUCGAACCAAGACGGUGGACAAAGGAAAGCGGCUCCGGAAGAAGAACUGGAGUGCCUCGUGGACAGUGCUGGAGGGCGGCAUCCUGACAUUCUUCAAGGACUCGAAGACCUCGACUGCAGGUGGCCUGAGGCAGCCUUCCAAGCUCUCCACCCCCGAGUACACGGUGGAGCUGAAGGGGGCCUCUCUCGCCUGGGCCCCCAAAGACAAAUCCAGCAAGAAGAAUGUGCUGGAGCUGCGGAGCCGAGAUGGCUCGGAGUACCUGAUCCAGCAUGACUCGGAAGCCAUCAUCAGCACCUGGCACAAGGCCAUCGCCCAGGGCAUCCAGGAGCUGUCCGCAGACCUACCCCCCGAGGAGGAAAGUGAGAGCAGCAGCGUGGACUUUGGGUCGAGUGAGCGCCUAGGAAGCUGGCGGGACGAUGAGGCACGGCCUGGUGCAGCCGUGCCCACCCCGGGGCACGGAGGUCUGGAGAGCGACCUGAGCAAGGUCCGGAACAAGCUCCGCAAGCUCCUGCUGAAGCGGCCCACGCUGCAGUCGCUGCGGGAGAAGGGCUACAUCAGAGACCAGGUGUUCGGCUGCGCGCUGGCCGUGCUGUGUGAGCGCGAGAGGAGCCAGGUGCCGCGCUUCGUGCAGCAGUGCAUCCGCGCCGUCGAGGCCCGGGGGCUGGACAUCGACGGUCUAUACCGCAUCAGUGGAAACCUGGCCACCAUCCAGAAGCUGCGCUAUAAAGUGGACCACGAUGAACGUCUGGACCUGGACGACGGACGCUGGGAGGACGUCCACGUAAUCACCGGCGCCCUGAAGCUCUUCUUUCGAGAGCUGCCCGAGCCCCUCUUCCCCUUCUCGCACUUCCCCCAGUUCAUCGCAGCCAUCAAGCUGCAGGACCAGGCCCAGCGCAGCCGCUGUGUUCAGAGCCUGGUGCGCUCGCUGCCCGCCCCCAACCACGACACAAUGCGGCUGCUCUUCCAGCACCUGUGCAGGGUGAUCGAGCACGGAGAACAGAACCGCAUGUCCGUGCAGAGCGUGGCCAUAGUGUUCGGGCCCACGCUGCUGCGGCCCGAGACAGAGGAAACCAGCAUGCCCAUGACCAUGGUGUUCCAGAACCAGGUGGUGGAGCUCAUCCUGCAGCAGUGCGCAGACGUCUUCCCGCCGCACUGACCGCGGGCCCGCACCCCUACCCCCGCUGCUGGCGCUGCGGACCUGGGAGUGGGGGCGGCGACAGUGGUCCUGCAUAGAAGCGGGGCGGCUGGAAGCCACGCGGCUGGACUCUAUCUCUGAGACCCUCCGCCUCCCGCCAGUCCGCAGCGCCACCUACUGUGCGUGUGCGAGAACGAGGGGUGGGGGGAGAGUUUUCUGGGACGGCCGCUGUUGCGAGGAGGAAUUUGGCCGAAGGGCUUCCUGGCUUCGUCAGGCCUGCACCUGGUGGAGGCCUUCAGGGAGACCCUGUGGGUCCCCGGCCCCGUGCAUGGCACUGUGCCCAUCAUGAAGCAGCAAUCGACAACCUCCCUGCCGCGGAAACAGGACUGAGCUGGGCCUCCGGCGGGCAGCUGAAGCUGCCUUUCCCCAGGCCUCUG